rnacentral:rRNA from 1 species
GUAGUCUGCAACUCGACUACAUGAAGCUGGAAUCGCUAGUAAUCGCAGAUCAGAAUGCUGCGGUGAAUACGUUCCCGGGUCUUGUACACACCGCCCGUCACACCAUGGGAGUCGGAAAUGCCCGAAGCCGGUGACCCAACCAAAAGGAGGGAGCCGUCGAAGGCAGGUCUGAUAACUGGGGUGAAGUCGUAACAAGGUACC